GAUUCGGUCUCUAAAAAUACGAGAAAGUUUAUUCUGAAUAACUUGAUUCUGCAAUCAACUCUAAUAAAAUCAAUAACAUCAAUCUUCUUAAGCAAUGGCUCCUACAACCGGUACAUACACCAAUAAAAUUCACUAUGUCAAAAAGCAGAUCCUCGAAAAGGUAACAAUGAAGCAAUAUGCACAAGUUUUUAUGCUGCCCAUGGACAGAAGAAACCGAGAUAUUGCGGGACUCAAAAAUCCCAUGGACCUGGGCACAAUCAUUAUUCGUGUGCAGAAACGGCGCUAUCGAAAUGUAGAUGAACUGAUUUUCGAUCUCAAACUUGUCUAUCAGAAUUGGCUUUCGUUGAAGAGGGAAAGUGCAAUCCUGUGCCGGCCUGGCAAUCAAGUUGCAAAAAUUCGUGGAGAACAAGGUGUCGAAAAUGCCAGAGGGCCAGGAGUUGGAGAUCAAUAAGGAUUCCAAGAUGACGGUCAAGUCCCUCCAAAAUUUUCCCUGGCGGCAGUUAAAUAGCACAGAGCCGACUCCAACAGAGCCUAUGAAUGUGUGUCUGCAUGUGACACCAGAGCUUGUCGCUGAUCCUACGGAUGUUUAGACAGAGCCCUAUGAAGAGGAUGAUUCAUUGCGGAUAAUCACACAAAUUCUGAGCAAAACGCAGCUGAUGCACUACCUUCAGCCACCCGAUAUAAGUAUCUAUGUUGAUACUCUUGGUGACUGCAGCAAUGAAUGCAACUGUCAGUUGUGGGACAGCAACGUGGAUGAUUUGACAUCGCAUGAGCUGCAGACUGUCAUGCAUAUAGCGUUGCAACAUAAUGUGCCAGUCACUAUGAAAAAAGGCAGAAUGGACUUAAGCAUAACGAAAUUCUCCCCCAAAGUUAUAUCCAUAUUAAAUGAGGCUCUCCUUCAACGCAGACGCAACGAUUCUGUAUUGCUGCAACUUAUGACAGAUGAUGAACGGCAGGUUAUGACGGAAUAUUUGGAAAACAGGUUGCUCAGACUCAACACCCUCUUGAACAUAUCAAAUCGUACGAGUACUUUAAGGAGACAUGCCACUAUCAGUAACAGUCAGGAUCUGGAACACUCCGGAACGGUUAUCUGAUGACGAAAAGGAGGAAAAGGGAGGAGGAAAGCAUGUUAAAAAAGGACAGACCUAA